GGAGAGGUGGCCGAGCGGACGAAGGCAGCCGCCUGCUAAGCGGUUGUUCGGUUAAUAGCCGGACCGCGGGUUCGAAUCCCGCCCUCUCCGCCA
rnacentral:tRNA from 1 species